rnacentral:rRNA from 1 species
UACGAAGGGUGCAAGCGUUGUUCGGAAUUACUGGGCGUAAAGGGUGUGUAGGCGGCCUGUCAAGAUAGCGGUGAAAUCCCGGAGCUCAACUUCGGAAUUGCCGUUAUAACUGGUGGGCUAGAAUGACAGAGAGGAUAUUGGAAUACCCAGUGUAGAGGUGAAAUUCGUAGAUAUUGGGUAGAACACCGGAGGCGAAGGCGAGUAUCUGGCUGUAAAUUGACGCUGAGGCACGAAAGCAUGGGGAU